AACAAACUGAGUUUGUCAAGCCAGAAAGCAACCCUCCAGCAUCCAGAUUACCCUUCGAAGACGGCAAAGAAAAAGAGAGCUCUGAAAUCACUCAACGCAUAGGAGCUGGUUCUAUAAUUUUUAGACUUUAAUUAAAUCAAUUAUUAAAGCCUUUCUUAAUGCCUUGCUGAGAUAUUCAGGCUCGGGCUGCCUCAGGAGAGAGGAAGUGGUUGAAUGCACAGAGGUGGCUAAUAAGGUUGGUCACUGGCCCCUGAGGGACGCUAGGCAAUAAGGAAGGUUCUCCCUUCCACACCCUUUCCAGUCUCGCCCUCACUCCUUGUGUCUCUUCCAGAGGGGACACAACAUUCCAGAAUCCCACAGGAAAGAUUCUACCAUCUCCACAGCUGCCCUCGCCGCAGUCCUCCCUACUGUUGGAGAAGAUGCCCCCAAUAACUGGGGUGUCUCGAGCUAGUGGACACAUCAUGGAGCUGGAGUGGACUGUGUCAUUAAGAUCCUCCCAUGGCCUCAUCCUGUGCUGGCCAUCGCUAUGCGUCCAGUAAGGAGGUAGAACACUGGAUGAGCCACAGAAAGCACACAGGACUUUGCUGUGGAAGAGUCAAAGAUCCACGUGGGAGCAUCCCGUAGGGGACUUGCGUUUCAGAUCAGAUGAUGCUUUUCAUGUAUGUCCAGCAGCAAGAGAGUCCUUCACUGGUGAAAAAUCACGGGCCUCAGAGCAGAUUUUAGUUCAUCUUUCAUUUCAAAGCACUCCUUAGAUAUCUGCAAAUUAAAUCCCCUAAUUUGGUGAGGACGCCCAGCUUCCCAAAUAACAAGGCUUUUCCUUUGAUUCUAACCAAGUGAGCCGGCCCUGCAAAAGCCGGGGUGCGUGUUCUGGCUCCAGGCUUCUGAGCAGCCUUUCUCCCCACGCUGCAGCUUUUCAGUUAGGAAGUCAGAGAGAAGGAAAGAGAACUAUUUCCAAUUCAAUCACGAGCAUGUCUACGCACCACUGAAGACAGACCUUUGUCCUGUUGCUUUCCAAACUUUAAAUGUGAAUUUUUCUUCUUAUGAUGACUGGUGUACUCUGUUAUUCUGAAAAAAGAAAAAGCCAUAAGCACCCUGAAGUGAGG
rnacentral:lncRNA from 1 species